AGUGAACGCUGGCGGUAGGCCUAACACAUGCAAGUCGAACGGCAGCACAGUAAGAGCUUGCUCUUACGGGUGGCGAGUGGCGGACGGGUGAGGAAUACAUCGGAAUCUACUUUUUCGUGGGGGAUAACGUAGGGAAACUUACGCUAAUACCGCAUACGACCUACGGGUGAAAGCAGGGGAUCUUCGGACCUUUCGCGAUUGAAUGAGCCGAUGUCGGAUUAGCUAGUUGGCGGGGUAAAGUCCCACCAAGGCGACGAUCCGUAGCUGGUCUGAGAGGAUGAUCAGCCACACUGGAACUGAGACACGGUCCAGACUCCUACGGGAGGCAGCAGUGGGGAAUAUUGGACAAUGGGCGCAAGCCUGAUCCAGCCAUACCGCGUGGGUGAAGAAGGCCUUCGGGUUGUAAAGCCCUUUUGUUGGGAAAGAAAAGCAGCAGGUUAAUACCCCGCUGUUCUGACGGUACCCAAAGAAUAAGCACCGGCUAACUUCGUG
rnacentral:rRNA from 1 species